rnacentral:rRNA from 1 species
GCAUAUCAAUAAGCGGAGGAAAAGAAACUAACAAGGAUUCCCCUAGUAACGGCGAGUGAAGCGGGAAGAGCUCAAAUUUGAAAUCUUAAAGGUUCUACCUUUACGAAUUGUAGUUUAAAGAAGUGUUUUCUGUUGGAGAUUUAGUAAAAGUUCUUUGGAAUAGGACAUCAUAGAGGGUGAGAAUCCCGUAUUUGACUAUUUCUUCCAGCUUUGUGAUACACUUUCAAAGAGUCGGAUUGUUUGGGAAUGCAGUCCAAAAUGGGUGGUAAAUUUCAUCUAAAGCUAAAUACUGGCGAGAGACCGAUAGCGAACAAGUACCGUGAGGGAAAGAUGAAAAGAACUUUGAAAAGAGAGUUAAACAGUACGUGAAAUUGUCAAAAGGGAAGCGUUUGACACCAGUGUUGUUUUUCUGAAAAUCAAUUUAAGAACUGUUCAUUUUUAGUUGUUAAGACUUUAUCGGCUUACUGCUAUUUUUUGGAUUUUUCUUGAAUGCACUUUUCAGUUAACAAGUCAACAUCAAUUUCUUUUGUUGUAAAACGGUAAAAGGAAGGUGGCUUUAUCUUCGGAUGAAGUGUUUAUAGCCUCUUACUUCUGCAAUCGGAGAGAUUGAGGUCUGCAGCGUAGAUCCUUCGGGGUUAGAUACUUCUAUGCUAGCUAUAGUCCUAUAUAGACAACUUGUUGACUAUGUUCGUUCCUGUAACUUACUCGUAGAUACUAUUUUACCUACGCUUAGGAUGUUGACAAAAUGGUUUUAAACGACCCGUCUUGAAACACGGACC